rnacentral:rRNA from 1 species
UACAGAGGUCUCAAGCGUUGUUCGGAUUCAUUGGGCGUAAAGGGUGCGUAGGCGGCGCGGUAAGUCGGGUGUGAAAUCUCGGAGCUUAACUCCGAAACUGCAUUUGAUACUGCCGUGCUUGAGGACUGGAGAGGAGACUGGAAUUUACGGUGUAGCGGUGAAAUGCGUAGAUAUCGUAAGGAGGACCAGUGGCGAAGGCGGGUCUCUGGACAGUUCCUGACGCUGAGGCACGAAGGCCAGGGGAGCAAACGGG